rnacentral:snoRNA from 1 species
GUUUGGAAUGAUGAUCCUUUGUUUUCCGAUUUGUUCGAUUGUUUGUAUCAUGGCAUAUAUGUAUUAGCUCUAUCUGAUCAUUC